UGGGAGUCUGGAGGAAGACCCAGAAGACACGAGCUCACCUGAGGAGACCAGGACGGGCUUCGAUGUGCAAUUCAGAGACAGCUCCCCUCUGGGAAUCACUCUUGCUGAGCACAUCACAGUCUGUGUCGUCUGCAGUACACAGUCAGAAUGGGGGACUCCGGGACCCAGCCACAGAGCUCUGGAAACAUUUCCUAAGUGUCCAUUCCACGUGAAGAACUGUGAACAUCACAGGAACGGCCAUCAGACAGACAGAAGAGGGACAUGGAUGGAGGAAGAGAACGCGUUCCGUGGCAGGGUUAGGACUCAGUCCAAAGACUUCAGUGUUUGGUACAGAAAGGAACGAUCCCCACGGGAUGGGGCCCAUGAUUUCAAGGAGAUUAAAGCUCUGUAAGGGUGGAGCCCCUCUGUGUUCUUCUACAGGGAGCCAGUACCAAGCCUGCGUCACAGUGAUCGCUUGUCCAAGUUGCCGAGGAAUCACGAGAGCAGCGGCAGAGUUCUCCACUUUGAGGGGGAAGGUCUAGGUUUGAGCCCCAAAUCCACUUUAUACCCCACCCCCGGGGGGCUCAUUUCCUUACCUGUAAGCAGAAAGUUGGAGAAGAGGGUCAUCAGCUCGUUCUUGGUUACACAGACAAGAGAGGCAGAACAAGGAUUGGAAUCCACGUCUCCAUGUCCAUGACUCAGGGAGGUGGUCCUCCUCGGUUCUAGGUUCCGUGAGCCUCCCAGCACUUACGUUCAUAUAAAUGCUGACGGGGGAUGGUAUGACACCAGGAUGAGUGAUGAGUAAAUAUGAGCUCCCACUGAAGCUGAGCUUGAGUUCCUGCUGAAAACUGGCUCCACGAGCACACACAGAGACAGCCCAAGCUAUUCCCUGACAUCCAGACCUCUCUCUUUCACAGGGAUGAUUUCCCCAGUGUAGACACUUGACAUACUUGAUGAUAGAUUGGUUAAUCACCUGCAGGUCCCAGAACACUGAGACCUCCCAAAGAUCCAAGCCAUGAGAUGCCCUAGGAGUGGUGGAGACAUUCACCCUGGGCGCCAGUUGGCGACCUACGGACAAGAAUCAGAGUCGAAGCUAUCACCAAGGGCCAGAGGGCCAGAGAAGGAGCUGGGCCAGUAAGGCAGAGAGAUGGAGCCCAGCCAGUGGGCAGCCACCCAGGGAGAAGAGGGGCAGAGGGCGAAGGGGCACAGCUAAGGCCUGCCCUGUGCUUUGGGAAGGGGUGCCCACCUCAAGGAGAUCAUGGAUUGGACGGCCACUGAAGCCAUGAGGUCUCCCAUGUCCACCUCCCUCCUGCUUCUCUCCUCACCAGCUCCUGACCACGUUCUACCGAGUCAUAGAAUGGAGCCUCCUGGUCAGGGGAUGAGAAAGGAGUCUUCCCAUUGAAGAAGGAAUCAGACAGGCGGGCCCGGAGGCUCGGCCCUCCAUAUGUGCUUCUGGGAUGAGAUCACAGACCCCAUGAAUUUGUGGAGCUUUCACAGUCUUUUAGGAGAACUGUUUUAUGGCUCCCCUUGACCCCUCUUCCUGGAAUCCCUCCUCUCAUCCCAGAUCACCAGGAAGAUGGAGAACGAGAUAGGAAGCAAUGGAACAAAGAAGCACGGACUCAGAUAGGAACAAAGGAGCACGGACUCAGGCCCUGCCCCUUGCUGGGCCUCCGUUGCAAAUGAGGGUUGAACUAAGUGAUUGCCAAGAUCCCUCUCAGUUCAGACUCUGGGACUUGGUAGGCCCAAGGGUCUGGAGAAGUCUCAGGUAUCGCCGGAGGCGAUCUCCCCGAAGGGAGGGCCUCUGGCUCUCUGGACCACUCCGUGGUACCCCAGUACCUUUCACAAGGGUCCGCUCACUUCAUCUCCUCAAACGCCAGAUCCUCCAGCCCCUGGUCAGCUUUCCCGGCCUCAGGAGCGACUCCCGAUUUGUUGAUGAGAAACAUCUGGCCCUGUGCCCCUCCCACCACUGCAGUGUAGACAGGUCAGAGGCAGGGGGAAGGAGAGCAGAGCCAGAGGCCUUAGCGGCGGGCCUGGGAAGCCCAGCGCUGCCCCUGCUCUCCCUGCGGCAGCCACGCCAGCUGAGGUCUUCUAGUGUUGAGCAGAUGCCCUAGAAAACUCCCGGCAGAUCUGAGAGUCUGGGGGGAGCUCAUGGGAAAUCCUCCAGGUGUUUGGAUAUAGAGGACCCAGAUGGCUCAUCCCCUUGUAUCUCCAUAAUGAACCCCUCAAAGCACAAACUCCAACCAUGGCAUUCUGUGGGGUGGAGACGGAGCCCUGGUGAGUUGUUUGGCAUUCAAGGCCUUCACAAGGCUCCUGGUCACUCUCCAUAUAAAAUGGUAGAGUGAAAGCAGACAGUUCCGCUGGACUCAGUUUCCCCAUUUGGACCACCCAAUGAUCCCUUCUCACUCUAGGAUCCUGUGAACCCGAACCACAGAUGCAGGGACUGACUCGUUCUGCCCAUGAUGCUGGCGUUGUGUGACCUGCUCCACAUCUCCUGAUAAGCCAGGACUGGAUGGCCACGUGUGCCCCACAUCCUGAACCACAAGAAAGACCUCUGGGCCCCUCCCUCUCCCCUCUCGCAUCCUCUAGACCUCAAGCUGCUGGCCACAUGACCUCCCCAAUAGAAACUCGAGUCCCAAACCCGGGAGGCCGCUGGCCCCCACGGGCAGCAAGCGGACGGUCCGAAGGUCAAGGGGCCUCUGCCCCCCGCCCCGGUCCGCGGCCCCCGCGACUCUCCCAGCACAGCCAUUGUUUGCUUUGCCACAACAAUAACCCUUCCCGAUGCACGUUAAGAAUGUGGGAGGGGGAGCUGUCCAGUGAUCUCAAAGCAUCUGGUUCUGAUUCCAGGGAGAUUAUGGAUACCGAAGG